CCGAGUUGACAACUCCCAAACCCCAAUGUGAACCAUACCACACUGUUGCUUCGGCGGGAUCGCCCCGGGCGCGUAGCAGCCCCGGGCCAAGGCGCCCGCCGGAGGCCCUACAAACACUCCUGUAUUUUUUUUUUUACGUAUCUUCUGAGUUUUCUCGGCGCCCCCAGCGGGCGUUACGAAAAAUGAAUCA
rnacentral:misc_RNA from 1 species